CGGCGAGGUGAUUACGACUAUUAAAGGGCGUGGCCAAGUAGGUAAUUGGUGGGUUUUUAAGCAGGCACCUAGAAGGGUACCUGGAGAUGGGGUCCGAUCUUUUGUGUGGAAGCGUGUUGCCUCGUAGUGGUGUUUGUGCACGGAUAUGGUCUGAAUGAGUAGGUAGGCUAAGUGGAUCUUAACUUUGUUUUAUGUUCACAAAGCCUUGCUUUAUUAAAUCGGGGCGCUAUGUUUUAAAUGCAGAUGUAAACAUUGUGCUGCCUGGUACCGCUUCCGUGUUGGUUUAUGUAUGGACACUGUUUGGGGGAAUAGGUGUAAACAUCAUGGAUUUAGCAGCUGCUGGUCACGCCCGUCCUCGUUUGAUCUCGGAUAUUAGUCCGUGGUUCGUGGCUGUGUUGCAGGUAAUCAGAGAGGGUAUUUAUAAUAUUUAAGUGGUUUGAUUUUAUUAUUUUUAAUGAUAUUAAAGAAAAAUGUGAUUAGGUGCAGUAUUGUUAAUUGUGUUUUUGUUUAUAUUCAUAUUAGGUUUAGUUGAUCGCUGUUCCUCCUAGGUUUUUUUUUUGUUUUUUUUUCUCGCUAGCCCGUCCUUGCGUGUGCGCGCUGUAUGCCUCCAGCGCAAUUAAAGUUUAUGAUUCUUGUAUGAACUGGACUGGCUAGCGGGGUUUUUUUUGUAUUUUUUUUUUUUUUAUCUUUUUCUCUUUGUUUGUAUCACUUCCCAGCCUCGUGUUGCCAGCCAACCUUUAUAUUCCCUAAAUCAGAUUGAUGCUCUACAACACAUGAACUAUUCUUUUGCAUGAGGUUUAUGUUUGCAGUGUAAUUAUUUGAGUGUUUUUUUUUUUUUUGAGUGUUGUAUUUAUUUAAUAUGAUUUUUGGAGUUUAUGUAUUUUACUUUAUUCUUUCUUUCAAAUCGUUCUGUGUAAGGAAGCUGGUUUGUGUUGGGAUCCAGAGAGGGUUGGCUGGUUAGUAAUAUCUUUUUUUUUGCGGGGGGAAGGAACUUUUGUCACAUGUAUCUUGUUGUAUUCAUUGCUUCAUUUGUAUAAAUAAAUGAUCUUUUUUGUGAUUUA